rnacentral:rRNA from 1 species
GUCUACGGCCAUACCACGUUGAAAGGCACCAGUUCUCGUCCGAUCACUGAAGUUAAGCAACGUCGGGCUCGGUUAGUACUUGGAUGGGUGACCGCCUGGGAACACCGAGUGCUGUAGACU